CAGACCUCUAAUCGGAAAAGACUACCCGCUGAGUUUAAGCAUAUCACUAAGCGGAGGAGAAGAAACUAACCAGGAUUUCCCUAGUAACGGCGAGCGAACCGGAAAGAGCCCAGCUUGAAAAUCGUGGUGCCUCGUACCUCGAAUUGUAGUCUGGAGAAGGUCCCUCUGCGACGCGCCGGACCCAAGUUCCCUGGAAAGGGACGUCAGAGAGGGUGACAACCCCGUCGAGUCGGAGCCGCGUCGCUCCACGAGGACCUGUCUGCGAGUCGGGCUGUUUGGGAAUGCAGCCCUAAGUGGGUGGUAAAUUCCAUCCAAGGCUAAAUAUUGGCAAGAGACCGAUAGCGAACAAGUACCGCGAG
rnacentral:rRNA from 1 species